rnacentral:rRNA from 1 species
GAUGAACGCUGGCGGCGUGCCUAAUACAUGCAAGUCGAGCGAACAGACGAGGAGCUUGCUCCUCUGACGUUAGCGGCGGACGGGUGAGUAACACGUGGAUAACCUACCUAUAAGACUGGGAUAACUUCGGGAAACCGGAGCUAAUACCGGAUAAUAUAUUGAACCGCAUGGUUCAAUAGUGAAAGACGGUUUUGCUGUCACUUAUAGAUGGAUCCGCGCCGCAUUAGCUAGUUGGUAAGGUAACGGCUUACCAAGGCAACGAUGCGUAGCCGACCUGAGAGGGUGAUCGGCCACACUGGAACUGAGACACGGUCCAGACUCCUACGGGAGGCAGCAGUAGGGAAUCUUCCGCAAUGGGCGAAAGCUUGACGGAGCAACGCCGCGUGAGUGAUGAAGGUCUUCGGAUCGUAAAACUCUGUUAUUAGGGAAGAACAAAUGUGUAAGUAACUAUGCACGUCUUGACGGUACCUAAUCAGAACGCCACGGCUAACUACGUG